rnacentral:rRNA from 1 species
CUCAUUAAAUCAGUCAUAGUUUAUCUGAUGGUCUCUUUUGUCUUUUUUUUACCUACUUGGAUAACCGUGGUAAUUCUAGAGCUAAUACAUGCGCAAGGUCCCGAGCGCGGAGGGUAGGGCUUCACGGCUCUACUCUCGCAUGCGUAGAGGGAUGUAUUUAUUAGGUUAAACAACCAGCAUUUUUUUCAUUUCUGGUGAUUCAUAGUAACUCUUUCGGAUCGCAUUCAUG